GCGGGAAGAGCUCAAAUUUGAAAUCUGGUAGCCUUCGGUUGCCCGAGUUGUAAUCUAGAGAAGUGUUUUCCGCGUUGGCCCAUGUACAAGUCCCUUGGAACAGGGCGUCAUAGAGGGUGAGAAUCCCGUCCUUGACAUGGACCCCCAAUGCUUUGUGAUACACUUUCAACGAGUCGAGUUGUUUGGGAAUGCAGCUCAAAAUGGGUGGUGAAUUCCAUCUAAAGCUAAAUAUUGGCGAGAGACCGAUAGCGAACAAGUACCGUGAGGGAAAGAUGAAAAGCACUUUGGAAAGAGAGUUAAACAGUACGUGAAAUUGUUGAAAGGGAAACGAUUGAAGUCAGUCAUGCUCUUUGGAUUAAGCCGUUCUGCGGUGUAUUUCAUUGAGCGGGGUCAACAUCAGUUUUGAUCGCUGGAAAAGGGCAGGAGGAAGGUAGCACUCUCGGGUGAACUUAUAGCCUCUUGUCGUAUACAGUGAUUGGGACUGAGGAACGCAGCAUGCCUUUUGGCCGGGAUUCGUCCACGUACAUGCUUAGGAUGUUGACAUAAUGGCUUUAAACGACCCGUCUUG
rnacentral:rRNA from 1 species